rnacentral:snoRNA from 1 species
UGCUCUGUGAUUACAUGCCUUAAUAGGGCAAUAUACGCUAUUCUGAAGAUGAAAGUUUGUGUAGAUAUCUAUGGAAGCUAUAUGAGAGCU